AUUGAACGCUGGCGGCAUGCUUUACACAUGCAAGUCGAACGGUAACAGGGAGCUUGCUCCGCUGACGAGUGGCGAACGGGUGAGUAAUGCGUCGGAACGUGCCGAGUAGUGGGGGAUAACGCAUCGAAAGGUGUGCUAAUACCGCAUACGAACUGAGGUUGAAAGUGGGGGACCUUCGGGCCUCACGCUAUUCGAGCGGCCGACGUCUGAUUAGCUAGUUGGUGAGGUAAAGGCUCACCAAGGCGACGAUCAGUAGCGGGUCUGAGAGGAUGGUCCGCCCAACUGGGACUGAGACACGGCCAAGACUCCUACGGGAGGCAGCAGUGGGGAAUUUUGGACAAUGGGCGCAAGCCUGAUCCAGCCAUGCCGCGUGUCUGAAGAAGGCCUUCGGGUUGUAAAGGACUUUUGUCCGGGAGCAAAUGCUGGUGGCUAACAUCCACCGGAGCUGAGAGUACCGGAAGAAUAAGCACCGGCUAACUACGUGCCAGCCGCCGCGGUAAGAC
rnacentral:rRNA from 1 species